UACGUAGGGAGCAAGCGUUGUCCGGAAUCAUUGGGCGUAAAGAGCGUGUAGGCGGUCCUGUAAGUCCGCUGUGAAAGUCAAGGGCUCAACCCUUGAAUGCCGGUGGAUACUGCAGGACUAGAGUCCGGAAGAGGCGAGUGGAAUUCCUGGUGUAGCGGUGAAAUGCGCAGAUAUCAGGAGGAAUACCAGCGGCGAAGGCGGCGCUCUGGGCCGGUACUGACGCUGAGGAGCGAAAGCGUGGGGAGCAAACAGG
rnacentral:rRNA from 1 species